rnacentral:rRNA from 1 species
GACGAACGCUGGCGGCGUGCCUAACACAUGCAAGUCGAGCGAGUGAAUCUCCUUCGGGAGUGAAGCUAGCGGCGGACGGGUGAGUAACACGUGGGCAACCUGCCCCAUAGAGGGGAAUAGCCUUUCGAAAGGAAGAUUCAUACCGCAUAAGAUUGUAGCUUCGCAUGAAGUAGCAAUUAAAGGAGCAAUCCGCUAUGAGAUGGGCCCGCGGGGCAUUAGCUAGUUGGUGAGGUAACGGCUCACCAAGGCGACGAUGCGUAGCCGACCUGAGAGGGUGAUCGGCCACAUUGGGACUGAGACACGGCCCAGACUCCUACGGGAGGCAGCAGUGGGGAAUAUUGCACAAUGGGGGAAACCCUGAUGCAGCAACGCCGCGUGAGUGAUGACGGCCUUCGGGUUGUAAAGCUCUGUCUUCAGGGACGAUAAUGACGGUACCUGAGGAGGAAGCCACGGCUAACUACGUGCCAGCCGCCGCCGUAA